GCAAGACGGACACGCCGCGAGAGGGAUGAGGCCUCUGGGCUGUAAACCUCUUUUAUCAAGGAAGAAGAUCUGACGGUACUUGAUGAAUAAGCCACGGCUAAUUCCGUGCCAGCAGCCGCGGUAAUACGGGAGUGGCAAGCGUUAUCCGGAAUUAUUGGGCGUAAAGCGUCCGCAGGCGGCCUUUUAAGUCUGUCGUCAAAGCGUGGAGCUUAACUCCAUUUAAGCGAUGGAAACUGGAAGGCUAGAGUGUGGUAGGGGCAGAGGGAAUUCCCGGUGUAGCGGUGAAAUGCGUAGAUAUCGGGAAGAACACCAGUGGCGAAGGCGCUCUGCUGGGCCAUAACUGACGCUCAUGGACGAAAGCCAGGGGAGCGAAAGGGAUUAGAUACCCCUGUAGUCA
rnacentral:rRNA from 1 species